UACGUAGGGUGCAAGCGUUGUCCGGAAUUAUUGGGCGUAAAGAGCUCGUAGGCGGUUUGUCGCGUCUGCUGUGAAAACGCGAGGCUCAACCUCGCGCCUGCAGUGGGUACGGGCAGACUAGAGUGCGGUAGGGGAGAUUGGAAUUCCUGGUGUAGCGGUGAAAUGCGCAGAUAUCAGGAGGAACACCGGUGGCGAAGGCGGGUCUCUGGGUAGUAACUGACGCUGAGGAACGAAAGCGUGGGUAGCGAACAGG
rnacentral:rRNA from 1 species